rnacentral:rRNA from 1 species
AACAGUGCCGAAGACAGUGAAAGCCUGGUAGGCGAAAAAGAGAAACGCGGAGAUGGCACCAGAGUACCGCGGGACACGAGAAAUCCCGUGGGAAACAGGGGGGACCACCCUCCAAGGCAAAACACAGAUAUCGACCGAUAGCGCAUAGUACCGUGAGGGAAAGGUGAAAAGCACCCCGGGAGGGGAGUGAAAGAGAACCUGAAACCGUAUGUUUACAAGCAGUCGGAGACCGCUUAAUAAUAAGGUCGACGGCGUGCCUAUUGAAGAAUGAACCGGCGAGUUACGAAGCCUGGCAAGGUUAAGCAGGAAAUGCGGAGCCGAAGCGAAAGCGAGUCUUAAGAGGGCGAGAGUUGCAUGCAGUAGACCCGAAACCGGGUGAUCUAGCCAUGACCAGGUUGAAGUUGGGGUAAAACCCGAUGGAGGACCGAACCGACCCCCGUUGAAACGUUGGCGGAUGAGUUGUGGCUAGGGGUGAAAUUCCAAUCGAACCCGGAGAUAGCUGGUUCUCCCCGAAAUAGCUUUAGGGCUAGCGUCGAGGUAAGUUGCGUGAAGGUAGAGCACUGAAUAUGUGAUGGCCCCAUCUCGGGGUACUGAGCAUAAUCAAACUGCGAAUGUCACGCCAACAUGCUCGGCAGUCAGACAGCGGGUGAUAAGGUCCGUUGUCAAGAGGGAAACAGCCCAGACCAUCAGCUAAGGUCCCAAAAUGUAUGCUAAGUGGAAAAGGAUGUGGAGAUGUACAGACAACUAGGAGGUUGGCUCAGAAGCAGCCAUCCUUUAAAGAGUGCGUAACAGCUCACUAGUCGAAUGACUCUGCGCCGAUAAUUUACCGGGGCUAAGCAUACUACCGAAGCUAUGGAUCCCAAGGGAUGGUAGGGGAGCGUUCCAUGAACGGAGAAGUACGACCGAAAGGACGUGUGGAGAUCAUGGAAGAGAGAAUGCCGGUGUGAGUAGCGGAACGUGGGUGAGAAUCCCACGCACCGAAAACCCAAGGUUUCCAGAGGAAGGUUCGUCCGCUCUGGGUAAGUCGGGACCUAAGGCGAGGCCGAAAGGCGUAGUCGAUGGACAACAGGUAGAGAUUCCUGUACCCGUAUAUAUGUGAAGGAAUGACGGAGAGAGGAAGCUGCAGCCAGCGGCUGGAAGAGCUGGUGCAAGCGAGAUAUCGGGAUGGCAGGCAAAUCCACCAUCCGAAACGAGAAGGCGUGAAGCGUACGGAAAGCUACGGCGAGUACGGAAGGCAGUGGAGGAACUUCCAAGAAAAGUUUCUAACGUAAAGUAUAUAUGGCCCGUACCGAAAAUGGACACACAUGGGUGAGGAGAGAAUCCUAAGGUGAGCGAGAGAACUAUAGCUAAGGAACUCUGCAAAAUGACUCCGUAACUUAGGGAGAAGGAGUGCUCAUAGAGAUAUGAGCCGCAGUGAAACGGCCCAAGCGACUGUUUACCAAAAACACAGCUCUCUGCUAAGCCGCAAGGCGAAGUAUAGGGGGUGACGCCUGCCCGGUGCUGGAAGGUUAAGGGGAGGGGUUAACGCAAGUGAAGCCCUGAACUGAAGCCCCAGUAAACGGCGGCCGUAACUAUAACGGUCCUAAGGUAGCGAAAUUCCUUGUCAGGUAAGUUCUGACCCGCACGAAAGGCGUAACGAUUUGGGCGCUGUCUCAGCUGUAGACUCGGUGAAGUCUUAGUACCUGUGAAGAUGCAGGUUACCCGCGACUAGACGGAAAGACCCCAUGGAGCUUCACUGCAGGUUGAUAUUGGGAUUUGAUGCAGCAUGUACAGGAUAGGUAGGAGGCAAAGAGAUGGAUACGCCAGUAUUCAAGGAGCCGCUGUUGGGAUACUACCCCUGUUGUAUUGGAUUUCUAACCGGACGACGUAGAGCCGUUGACGGGACAGUGUCAGUCGGGCAGUUUGACUGGGGCGGUCGCCUCCCAAAGAGUAACGGAGGCGCCCAAAGAUACCCUCAGCUUGGAUGGAAACCAAGCGCAGAGUGCAAAGGCAAAAGGGUGUUUGACUGCGAGACCCACAAGUCGAGCAGGGACGAAAGUCGGGCUUAGUGAUCCGGCGGUGCUGAAUGGAAAGGCCGUCGCUCAACGGAUAAAAGCUACCCUGGGGAUAACAGGCUGAUCUCCCCCAAGAGUUCACAUCGACGGGGAGGUUUGGCACCUCGAUGUCGGCUCAUCGCAUCCUGGAGCUGAAGUCGGUUCCAAGGGUUGGGCUGUUCGCCCAUUAAAGCGGUACGCGAGCUGGGUUCAGA